rnacentral:rRNA from 1 species
AUUGAACGCUGGCGGCAUGCUUUACACAUGCAAGUCGGACGAGUGGCGAACGGGUGAGUAACAUAUCGGAACGUACCGAGUAAUGGGGGAUAACUAAUCGAAAGAUUAGCUAAUACCGCAUAUUAUUCGAGCGGCCGAUAUCUGAUUAGCUGGUUGGUGGGGUAAAGGCCUACCAAGGCGACGAUCAGUAGAGGGUCUGAGAGGAUGAUGCGCCAAACUGGGACUGAGAAACGGCCCAAACUCCGAAGGGAGGAAGCAGGGGGGAAUUUUGGACAAUGUGCGCAAGCCUGAUCCAGCCAGGCCGCGUGUCUGAAGAAGGCCUUCGGGUUGUAAAGGACUUUUGUCAGGGAAGCGGUACCGGAAUAGAAAGCCACGGCUAACUACGUGCCAGCAGCCGCGGUAAUAC